GCAAUGCACGAAAGUGUGAACCCCGAGUGCCAUCCGCUGAGGAAGGCUUUUACUCAGUAUAAAUAGCUGGGAGAAUAAGGAGAGGGCAGUCUGGUGUCAGCCGCCGCGGUAAUACCAGCUCUCCGAGUAGUGUGGAUGUUUAUUGGGCCUAAAGCAUCCGUAGCUUGCUAAACAAGUCCCCUGUUAAAUCCACCGAUUCAAUCGAUGGACUGCGGGGGAUACUGUUUGGCUAGGGGACGGGAGAGGCCGACGGUAUUUCCGGGGUAGGGGUGAAAUCCUAUAAUCCCGGGAAGACCACCAGUGGCGAAGGCUGUUGGCUAGAACGCGCCCGACGGUGAGGGAUGAAAGCUGGGGGAGCGAACCGGAUUAGAUACCCGGGUAGUCCCAGCUGUAAACGAUGCAGGCUAGGUGUUUGGGCGGCUACGAGCCGCCCUAGUGCCGCAGGGAAGCUGUUAAGCCUGCCGCCUGGGGAGUACGGCCGCAAGGCUGAAACUUAA
rnacentral:rRNA from 1 species